AUGCUAUCCAUGCUUGAAUUAUUAAGCCUAUAUUUUAAUCAACUCUCUGGCCUAGUAACACAAGCCAUGUUCAACAUGUCUAGAUUACAGGAAAUUUCACUAGUAAAUAAUCGUAACCUGACUGGAACAUUUCUGAGCAAUCAAAGUUUCAGCCUCCUAAUGUUACAGUUUAUUUUUAUAUAUCUUAACAAAUUUGUUGGUCGUUUAGCAUCAGGGUUUACAUCAUGCCAACACUUACAAGUAAUUGAUUUGCACGAAAAUUCUUUUGUGGAUGUUCUGCCAACAUGGUUAGCCAAAUUAACAAACCUCAAAAAAACUUAA
rnacentral:rRNA from 1 species